CCCCAAGUAGCCUUGCCAUCAGUUGUGUGUGAUUUAUCUUUUUCCAAUGCUUUGUCCUUCUCCUUUUCUUUCUCUUUGCUUUUAUCUUUCUCACGAUCCUUAGCAACACAAUGUAAGGCCUUUCACCUACCAUCUCAACUUGGCAAACAGAUUGUGCAGCCUGCAUAAAAAUCAUUGGAUCCCUGGAUAUUACAGAGCUUAAAAUUAAAAGGAAAUUGCGUGGAGUGACCCUU
rnacentral:misc_RNA from 1 species